CACCGAGUCCGAGGUCCGGUGCUCACCGGAUCUGGUGCAAAAGGGA
rnacentral:sRNA from 25 species